rnacentral:rRNA from 1 species
UACGUAGGGGGCAAGCGUUGUUCGGAUUUACUGGGCGUAAAGGGCGCGUAGGCGGCGCGUAAAGUCGGACAUGAAAUCAUUGGGCUUAACCAAUGGCUGUGCCCGAUACCUGCGUGCUUAGAGUGCGGGAGAGGCAAUCGGAAUUCUCGGUGUAGCGGUGAAAUGCGUCGAUAUCGAGAGGAACUCCAGUGACGAAGGUGGGUUGCUGGACCGACACUGACGCUGAGGCGCGAAAGCUCCGGGAGCAAACGGG